rnacentral:rRNA from 1 species
UUACGAUUUCUUCGGAAUGACGAUUUAGUGACUGAGUGGCGGACGGGUGAGUAACGCGUGGGUAACCUGCCUUAUACAGGGGGAUAACAGUUAGAAAUGACUGCUAAUACCGCAUAAGCGCACAGGAUUGCAUGAUCUGGUGUGAAAAACUCCGGUGGUAUAGGAUGGACCCGCGUUGGAUUAGCUUGUUGGUGGGGUAACGGCCCACCAAGGCAACGAUCCAUAGCCGGCCUGAGAGGGUGAACGGCCACAUUGGGACUGAGACACGGCCCAGACUCC